rnacentral:rRNA from 1 species
UGAGGAAUAUUGGUCAAUGGACGAGAGUCUGAACCAGCCAAGGAGCGUGCAGGAUGACGGCCCUAUGGGUUGUAAACUGCUUUUGUUUGGGAAUAAUCGACAUUACGUGUAAUGUUUUGCAUGUACCAUUCGAAUAAGGACCGGCUAAUUCCGUGCCAGCAGCCGCGGUAAUACGGAAGGUCCAGGCGUUAUCCGGAUUUAUUGGGUUUAAAGGGAGUGUAGGCGGUUGGUUAAGCGUGUUGUGAAAUGUAGAUGCUCAACAUCUGACUUGCAGCGCGAACUGGCUGACUUGAGUACACACAACGUAGGCGGAAUUCAUGGUGUAGCGGUGAAAUGCUUAGAUAUCAUGAAGAACUCCGAUUGCGAAGGCAGCUUACGGGAGUGUUACUGACGCUUAAGCUCGAAGGUGCGGGUAUCGAACAGG